rnacentral:rRNA from 1 species
GACGAACGCUGGCGGCGUGCUUAACACAUGCAAGUCGAACGGAAAGGCCCUGCUUUUGUGGGGUGCUCGAGUGGCGAACGGGUGAGUAACACGUGAGUAACCUGCCCUUGACUUUGGGAUAACUUCAGGAAACUGGGGCUAAUACCGGAUAGGAGCUCCUGCUGCAUGGUGGGGGUUGGAAAGUUUCGGCGGUUGGGGAUGGACUCGCGGCUUAUCAGCUUGUUGGUGGGGUAGUGGCUUACCAAGGCUUUGACGGGUAGCCGGCCUGAGAGGGUGACCGGCCACAUUGGGACUGAGAUACGGCCCAGACUCCUACGGGAGGCAGCAGUGGGGAAUAUUGCACAAUGGGCGGAAGCCUGAUGCAGCAACGCCGCGUGCGGGAUGACGGCCUUCGGGUUGUAAACCGCUUUCGCCUGUGACGAAGCGUGAGUGACGGUAAUGGGUAAAGAAGCACCGGCUAACUACGUGCCAGCAGCCGCGGUGAUACGUAGGGUGCGAGCGUUGUCCGGAUUUAUUGGGCGUAAAGGGCUCGUAGGUGGUUGAUCGCGUCGGAAGUGUAAUCUUGGGGCUUAACCCUGAGCGUGCUUUCGAUACGGGUUGACUUGAGGAAGGUAGGGGAGAGUGGAAUUCCUGGUGGAGCGGUGGAAUGCGCAGAUAUCAGGAGGAACACCAGUGGCGAAGGCGGUUCUCUGGGCCUUUCCUGACGCUGAGGAGCGAAAGCGUGGGGAGCGAACAGGCUUAGAUACCCUGGUAGUCCACGCUGUAAACGGUGGGUACUAGGUGUGGGGUCCAUUCCACGGGUUCCGUGCCGUAGCUAACGCUUUAAGUACCCCGCCUGGGGAGUACGGCCGCAAGGCUAAAACUCAAAGGAAUUGACGGGGCCCCGCACAAGCGGCGGAGCAUGCGGAUUAAUUCGAUGCAACGCGUAGAACCUUACCUGGGUUUGACAUGGAUCGGGAGCGCUCAGAGAUGGGUGUGCCUCUUUUGGGGUCGGUUCACAGGUGGUGCAUGGCUGUCGUCAGCUCGUGUCGUGAGAUGUUGGGUUAAGUCCCGCAACGAGCGCAACCCUUGUUCACUGUUGCCAGCACGUUAUGGUGGGGACUCAGUGGAGACCGCCGGGGUCAACUCGGAGGAAGGUGGGGAUGACGUCAAGUCAUCAUGCCCCUUAUGUCCAGGGCUUCACGCAUGCUACAAUGGCUGGUACAGAGAGUGGCGAGCCUGUGAGGGUGAGCGAAUCUCGGAAAGCCGGUCUCAGUUCGGAUUGGGGUCUGCAACUCGACCUCAUGAAGUCGGAGUCGCUAGUAAUCGCAGAUCAGCAACGCUGCGGUGAAUACGUUCCCGGGGCU